rnacentral:lncRNA from 1 species
GGCCCGCAGCCUGCAGCGGUGAAGCCCAGCCUGGCCAAACUGGGCGUAGCGCUCACCCCCUCCCACUGGCACAUCCUCUCAGCCACGUCCGCGCACCCCGCCGCCGACUCCCGCCUUGGCCCAGCCACCUUUCUCCUUCCCGGGGCCCCAUCCGGGCACUGCCGGCGCUCUUGCUCGCCUAGCACUGGUCAGCAAAGGCCUCCUGCAGUCGGGCCAGGUCCGAUCCACCUGGAGAACAUACGGAUCGGGCACCCCUCAUCACCCUGAAGAUAGCAGCCCAGGUCGCAUGCGGUGUCCAGGGCAGACACCGCAGGGAGAUGGAGGGCAGUGUGGAGACACCUGCAGAGUUGCCUGGGCAUCCCACUUCUACAGUCCUCUGUCCGCCUGUACUCCAGGCUGAGGCUGCCCGUGUGGCUUCCCGUCCGGUCUCCUGCUCCUGGUGCCUGGGCUGCCAAGCAUCUACCCGGAAUCUGAGCGUUUCGGUUUGAAGCUGUGGGAGGCCCCGUGGUGAGGCUUCUGUCCAAGUCCACAGAGAAGAUUUCAGGCCGUGUUAGGAACAUCAUGUCCGUUAACGUCUGGAACACGCCAGUGAGUGACUCGCUUCAACAAACGCCACUCUGGUCCAAAAAGAGUUUUUGUUUUCUUUUGUUAAGUUGAAUGCCUGUUCGAAAUUGGGGGAGAGGUUCCUGUCAGGAGAGCUGACUUGACUUUGCUAGAGUAUCCACUGCCACUUCCCGAAAGGACAUGGGCCAGCUUGUGAAGUGUCGCAGUCGUGAGGUGGUUCAGGUAACCUGAGGUCCAGGAGUUGACUCGCGGGUCCCUUGAGCCCUUAGGUCCCAGCCCCUAAACUUUCUCGACCAUACCUGCUCCCUUUCCCCAAGUGAGGGGAGUCGAUGGCCAGGAUGGGCACUAGUACGCUGGAUGUAAAGGAGCGUCAAUGGGGGGCGCUUGGGAUUCGUAGGGGUCAGGUGUGAGCUGGCCCGGGAGGGGGCGCCCGCCCAACAGGUGUCUCCUUGAAGCUUGCUAGGUAGAGCACGAGGACUCUGAAACCUGGCGCGCGGGCCUGAGCUUCCAUUUUAUUCUCGGUGGGCUCUGAAGCUAGUAGAGGGCGGCAGAGUUCUCCUGCCUGUGAGCGCCUGGCUUCUGCUUAGGCCUGGAUCGUGGCGCUCCAGCUCCUGCAGCAGCCAGAUCCGUGACACCGAAUGAAUGCUGUAGUCAGCCAGGCUGCUUUUUGUCUUGUCCAGGUCCCAGGGAACCAGGGAUCAAUUGUAGUGAUGGACUGGAGACAAUUUUUCCCGGGCAGGCAGGCAAGCAAAUUUAUCACUUUUGGUAGGAACUUUCCAGGCACUCUACUCAAACACUGCCACCACCAUACACCCUCCCCUUAUUGCCCCCCCCCCCGCCACCCCCCAGAACUUCUGAACCCCUUUCAGCAGUCUCGGUGCCUGUGCAGAGCCCACUCCCCUUUAUACCCUGAGUUAUUUACUGUCUAGCAUCUACAGAAAAGACCCUGGGUGGGGCAUACUCAUUCAAGGGAGGGGGAGGGAAGGGAAGGGAAGGGAAGGGAAGGGAAGGGAAGGGAAGGGAAGGGAAGGGAAGGGAAGGGAAGGGAAGGGAAGGAAGAGGUCACCACGCUAGCACCCCAGAACAGGGCAUCUGGGUGGAGCCAGAUCAGUUUAUUCAGACAUUUUUGUUUUCGCAGGAAGAGAUUCUUUUGGGAAGGGGCCCUAGGUGAGAUGUCCUGUACUGGAAACAACCACAAGUCAGACUAAGGCUCUUAGCUUCCAAUUAGGUUGGUUUCAGUCUUUUAUAUGAAGUAUCUAAUUUUUACCAGGAGAAUGAUUGUCCAGAUCUUAAUCUUUUCUAAAGAUUAGUUUCCUGUCCUGGUUUCAAUUUCAGUGGAGUUUACCCUACCUUUUCCUUGUGACUUGUGCCAGGUAUGUAUGGAGGAGAAAGCAGUGUGUGUUUAUACAUAUAUGUGUGUAUAUGUAUAUAUACAUAUGUACGUGUAUAUACAUAAGUAUGUAUAUACAUAUACAUGUGUGUAUACACACACACACACAUCUUUCUCUCUAUAUAUAUCAGUAGAAUGGAGCAGGUUCUUAUGCCUAUAUGCAGCUGAUUCAGACAUUAAUUACAUAACCAUACAAAUGUGCUUGACUUUGGAGGGCCUCGUCCUGCCCACAGACAUUGAGAAAGUACAACCCUAUUAUUGCUCAGUACAACCUAUCAAGACCAAGACCUCCCGUAUUUCCUCCACGAAUUAUCUUUCACCAAAAUUUAAAAUGUCCAUACUGCUGUCUGUUACUAAUAAAAACAGCCUACCUCGUGUAAUUAAACAGUCGAAUCUGACUACAUGCCGAUUUUAUUGGUAGUGACUGUGGCACAUUAAAAUGCCUAUACAGGGACAUUAGCUCGUGAGUUCCCAUUGUUAUUGGCGCAUUAAAACUCUGGUUUACACGAAUGAUCCCAAACUCUGGAAAGCCCUAUUUUUCUUCUCUUAGGUUAAAGUUGCAUUAAUCUUAAAAACAAAACAAAACAACAAAAAAACCACACCACCACCAACAAGAACAACAACAACAACAAAAAAUCAAGGAGGAAAAUUUACUUUCCAAGUAUAGCGCCUGGGCAGAUAAUCAUCACUGCUACUGGGGUGACAGGGUUACCCCAAACUGCUCUUGGUUUCCAACUUCAAAAGAGGCCUGGAUUCUGUGCUUCAGGGUAGGAGGAGAGUUCAGAUGUCUCUUGGGAAUCCAGGUGCUUGGCUCCUCUUUCUCCAGCUACAUACAUGGAGUGAACAAUGUAUGAAAUGUAGCGAAAUCGGUUGACUGCUUAGAAAGCGGUCUCUUGUGGUGGUUGUCCAGGCUGUGGGUACAUGCUGUGUACCCUCCCUCACGUAUGUAGUGGAGUUAAAAACAAACCAUGUUACUAUGGUCCUCACACAAACAGAAGUGGAAAUAUUUAGAGUUGGCCCUGGCUAGCGACUCUUUCAAGUUGCCCCCGUUUUCCGUGGAGGCCACUUGUGGGCCAAAUAUUAAGGCUAGGAAUGGAAGAUCUUUCUGGGUACUAAACUGGUUUUGAAGGCCCAGGCGCUGGCCUGAUACUGUCCUGUUCCAUGGUUUUCAGGAGGCGACUAGAUCUAAAGUCGCGCGGCAGGCGGCGAGGGGGCGCUGUGGCCCGCGCCUGCCGGCUGAGGCCCAGCUGCGGAAACCUGGUGCUGCCACCGUGCCACCGACGCGUGGCUGACGCCCCGCCAGCGACCAGAUCUAUCUCUUUCCAUGCCUGUUUUAUUCGGGAAAGAAGGAAAGCAAUAAUACAAGGGCAUUUCAACAAAACUAGAGCUCUCAUGACUAUUUUCUAUUUCAACUAUGUCUUCCGUGGUUUAAGUUUGGGGCCCAAAAAUAAGCUGCCAUUUAGGUGCGUGCAGAUUUUUUUUUUAUCUUAAAUAAAACGAAACAUUCACUUUUAAAGUGGGUUUACUUUAAUGAAGGAAAAUUUAAAAUGUAAGUAAGUUUCGAUGUAUCAAGUCAUAUCCUAUUCUAUUAGCAGCCAGGACUUUCUGGCAUGUGCAUGUUCUUGGUCAUCAAGACAGAAGGGCGAGAUGAAGUCAACCUUUGCUUCUUUAUUCUUUCAGUUUCGUUUUUGUUUGGUUUUAAAGAUUUUCAGUGCACCAAUUUUAAUUCUACAUGCAAAGGAAGUCUCCCUCGGGCUUACAAUAUAUUGGGGCUGCAUCCGUAUUUCUAGUUUCUAAAGGCGACGCGCUUUCCUGGAAAGCGCGCACACAGGACAGUCCCCCGAAGGUGAGGGGCUCUUUGAUGCCCGCUUCCUUGAAAGAGAAGUCUGGGCCCCAACUGGGUUCUCAAACCUGCCUGAGAGGCCUGGCCUUCUUGGCCGGUACAGGAGGUGGCUGCCCCUGUGGAGCCCAGAAUUGCUUUCCGUCCUGAACUUGGGGGUGGGGAAGGGGGGGGGCGACAACGCACUUUUUUUUUCUUGUUUCCCUCUCGAAGAUCGAGAAUUCCACUAACCAGUGCUUUCUCUUUUAACUAUCCUCUAACCAGUGCUUUCUCCUUUAUCCUCGCUCCUUCGCUUCAGAUCCUGAUCAGUUUCUCUUCUCAUGGUUUUCUUUAGUGGGAAGCAUGAGUUCGCAUUCUCCGGUAGAAGCCCCGCUUUAGACAGGCUUCCUGAAGUUUCUCUCCCGCGCGAGUCCGGACAAUUCUCCCUCCACAUCUGGCCAUUCGGUCGCUGUUCUCACCCUUGUCUGCUGGUGUCAUGCUUCUGUCGCUCCUUUUCUCUCCUCUUGUCUGUCUCCCAACUGCGAUCCUGCCCCCCGCGGUCCAUCCGUGUCCUGGGAAAGGCGUCCACGAGAGACCCGGUCCAGGGUUUUGCGCCCCUCCAGGAGGUGGCCUAGCUGGCCAGAUCCGGGAGUCUGAGGCGCCGCCAGGAGGGAGCGCAGCGCGCGCAGCCUGAGAGCCAGGCAAAGACUGGACUAGGGGACUGUGCUAGUUUGCGGUCCCAGAACCAGUGAGGGAGUUAAAAGGGAACCCAUUUCAGGCCUGGCUGAGAGCCGCUAAGCAAUUUCACAGCCGGCUCCCCUGGGCCCCCGCACUGCAGACACAGCUCCCGACAUAUAGGAGCUGAGUCCCGGCUUGCUUACUCUUGGUCUUGGAAGACGCAUUUCCUGAACUCUCCUUAGCGGUUCUAGGCUCUGUGGUCAGGUUUGCAGCCAUCUGAGCCUGCCUUUCAAGCUUGGUCCCAUGAGCAAAUGAAAACCUACCUGCCUGAGCCUGGGAGGAGUCUUUGCUGGAAGGAAAGCCAGGCAAGAAAACUGCAAUUCUCUAAGUCUUUCCCAAGAAAGCAGGUCUGCUGGGGCAGGCUUAAUUUCCACCUGCCAUUUCUCACUGGUAUGUCCAAACAACUCUCCAGGACAUAGUCUAGGCGGCAGGUAACCAUGAACACACCGUUUUCUCAGGCUCUCUCAGAGUGCUCUUACAUACCCGGCAAGGAAUAUUAUAAUUUUUAAGAAAAAGGAGGAAUGUGGGAAGGGAGGGAAAGAGAAAACACGGCAGGGAAUGUAGAUUCUUUUAAAAUGGAUAAAUCUGAAUUAAAAACAAACCGCACUGGGAGAAGAAUGUUGGUGCUGGUACAGGGUGGGCAAGGAUGCAGAGUCAUGAAUUCUGGAGUAUCCCUGGGAGAAAAUGUGCUCACCUCCACACCUAGAAGAACUUGAAAAUGACUGGAUCCACUGUGCCAGGGAAGGCCUCCAGACAAAGAGCUGCACUUCAUACCUCUACCUCAGAACUCCACGCAAGACCCAGGGCAGAAGGUAUCUCAACCAUCUGGACUGUGACAGCUCAAAUUGCUUCGAAGAAUUGGGAGGAGCAUCUAGUGACACCUGAAAAAGCGGGAGAGCAAGGGGACCUUGGAGGACUGUCUGUAUCCUACUUCAGGCAUGAGAUACCUGUGCAGGGCUCAUCUCUGUCAGAAGGGGUGUGUCCCGAAAGAUACUGGUAGAGUAGGUAGGUAAACAUUGAGGGACCCUAACAACCCUUAGCCGGGAAGGGGCUGCUGCAUGAGAAUAUAUUGCUCUUCACUUUUCCUUUGUAUGAGCUAUUUUAUGUUUCUAAAAUGUUUACAAUUAGGCACUAGCCUUACAAAGGAGCACCCUAGGUGUGGAAGUAUAAUGUGCUUCUUGGGGGAGGGGGAUGCUUGACUUAAAAACAACAACAAAAAAAAAAACCUCUCUCUUUAACAUUUUAAUUCUGUAUUCUCUUUAUAAUAAAUACAGAUGUAUUGAUUUUGCAGUUUAACCUUCAAAACAAAUGACAUCUCUGUGUUGGAUGGGGUUGUUUGAGGCAUGGGAGGAAGCUGAGCAGGAUGUUUUUCCUUCCAUGAAGUGUGAGAUGUGGCCCUGCUCUGAUCAGAACUGUAUAUACAGGAAUUCUGCAGACCAUAGAUUCUGCAAGGAGAGGUCUAAAUGCAGGCAGGACACCUGCACAUUCCUGUGGGAAGUGCCUUGCUUCUGCUCUGUAUGGGAUACUAGCGCCAGCAUCCCGGGGGAACAGUGAAUGUACAUUAGAUAAUUCAAAUAACAAUUAGAGAGGGGACAUCAGGAUCUAGGAAACUGGAGGAAGGGCCUGUGGAUGAAAGCAAGAAGCCAGACAGGGAAAGAGAGAGGGUUAUCCUCCUACUGCAGACAUUCCCAGGCUACCUCUCUCUCCAAGACUGGAACACAGAGAGCUUUUCUAGAAACAAUGGCUGUAGGCUCUGUCCACUUGUCCUGACUGCAGCCAGAGGAAUGGGGUAUUUGCAAACCUAAGUCCCCAUAAAGCCCUUGCACUUUGAGAGACCAUUUACUAUGUUCUUUCCAUAUAACCUGCCGCAGAGGCAGAGAGGAGAGCAAUAUGUUUCCAAGGCUUUGCUUUGUUCUGUGGUUCAAACCGGAGAAAGCCUGAAGCCUUGGGUUACUGCCACAACUGUCUGUCCACAGCAGGGCUUCUUCUACUGGCUGCUGCCUUCUGUAAAGCCUUCCAUGUCUCAGGAGUCUCCAGGGGCAAUGUUACCAUCAACAGGGCUUCCUGCGCUCCUCACUUUCUGCCACUGCCUCCAUGCCAGCCUGCCUAGCCUGCCUAGACACUAGAGAAGCACUAAUGCAACGAAUGCACACAUGAAAGAUAAAUGUCUGGCUCUUGGCUGGUCAUUUCUGGAAGGCAUUAGGGUUGAUAUAGGGCAUGGAAGACAGCAACAACCACGAUGUAGAUGUUUCUUUUAGGUGCUGACUUCCAGCCCCACCUGCAUUUGAAUGUGUAACCAGUCUAAGUCCAAUCAGACUCUCCCAUAGCAGCUUGGGCUUCUGAAGAUAAAGUAAGAUCAGCCUGGAAAGCUACAUUUUAAGGCCUCUCGUUCUUUGCCUAUCACCAUAGGCUCAUUGUUUAAAUCCUUGGUCCCAGAUGUGUUGCUGUGGACAACAUUGGGUGGCUGUGGAAACAGUAACAGAGGUGAAGCCUAUGGAAGUGGGUUACUUGGGCUGGGUCUUGGCAUUUUGUAGCCUGGUUCCACUUCCUCUUCAGUCUUACUUUCCUGAGUAUGGAUACAAUGUGACCUGUUGCACCUCUUGCUGCCAAGCCCUUCCCCCUCCAUGAUGUAACUGUUUCCCCUUGUACUGUAAGUCCAAAUAAAUCCUUCUUUCCUUAAAUGGGUUUUGUUAGGUGAUUUUUGUCAUUGCCACAAGCAACCAAUGAAGGAUCCAAUAGAUAAGACUAUUUCAAGUAGCUUUUUGUUUGUUUUUGAAACACAGUUUCUCUAUGUAUGCCUGGCUGUCUUGGAUUUCACUGUGUAGAUCAGGCUGGCUUUGAACUCAUAAAGAUCCACCUGCCUCUGCUGGGAUUAAAGAUGUGGAUCACCAUACCUAUAUUAGCAUUUCAUUUUAAAAAUACAUUUGUGAGUUAGCAGUCAUCCCCAGACUUUGUAUUCCUUGCGUGAAGUGUACAUAUGGUUUCAUUUUCUGUCUCAGAUUACCUGCAGAUGUCCCUGAAAGGCCAGAUAUCACAGCAGCUGAAUGAAUGAAUAUUGACACUUUGAUAAAAAAGAAAGUUAAACAAAAGCAAAUUGAACUUUGAUAUUUUUAGUAAAAAGUAUAUAACGGAAGCAGGUUAUAAAUACCUUAUUUAAAUACUUACCUAAUUUCAUUAUUUAUAUGUGUGUUUUUUUCCUUUCAGGUAUGUAUAUGUGUCACAUGUACAGUGUCAGAGGAGGUCAAGAGAAGGACAUAGAUUCCCUAGAUCUGAAGUCACAGAUGGUCAUGAGUCAUUAUGUAGGUGCUGAAGAUGGAACCUGUGUCCUUUGAAAGAACAGCAAGUGUUCUUAACUGCUGGUCCAUCUCUCCAGACCCUAUGCCAACAUUUUUCUUUCUCUCUUUUUUUUAAAAUAUUUAUUUAAGUUUAUAAAAUAAUUACAUCAUUUUUCUUUUUUCCUCUCUCUCUCUCUCUCUCUCUCUCUCUCUCUCUCUCUCCCUCUCCCUCUCCCUCUCCCUCUCCCUCUCCCUCUCCCUCUCUCUCUCUCUCUCUCUCUCUCUCUCUCUCUCUCUCUCUCUCUCCCCUCUCUCUCCUAAGUACAUAAAUACAACCUGAUCAGUCUGUACAAUGUUACUUGUAUGUAUGUUUUCAGCGCUGACCAUUUGGCACUGGUUAACCAACUGAUGUGGUGUUCCUUGGGAAAGACUGUUUCUUAGCUCUCCUAACUUAAUUUUUUAAAAUGUAUUUUAAAAUAAAGUGUGAAAAGGAGAUUCUCAGCCUCUGCUUUCACUGCUUCUUAUGACAGCAUUAAAAGUACUUUAUUUAAUUGCGGGCUGUUUUGUUUUGUUUUGGUUUUUUUGAGAUAGAUUAUCAUUUGUCUCAGGCUGGUGGGUCUUUCACUCACUAUGUAGCCAAGGAUGACCUUGAAGUCCUUAUUGGCCCUCCUGUGCUCACUUUCUCAGUCUUGGGAUUAUAGGUGUGCUUCAGCUCUGGGAAGGUUUUGUAUGCAUUUAUUCUUGUGAACACAGAGCCCUGGGUUCCACUCUACUGUAGUAACCCCUGCCCCCGGAUCUCGGUUUAGCGUCAUUGACCUCCAUGUGUGGAAUAGAUCAAUUUGACUCAUACCUUUAAUCUUAGCACUCAGGGUGCAGAGGCAGACAGAUCUCUGUGAAUUUAAGGCUACCUUGAAUGUUAACAUCCCAGGGGCACACUUUGAAACAAACCAGCAUAUCACUGUGGCAGGACAUUUGUUUUCAAGGGUUGGAAAUAUAGAUUGGUGGUGGAAAUCUUGGCUGUCUCCUGGAAGGUCUUAGACUCAACUCCCACAGCAGCUAGUAAAUGAAUGAGUGAAUACAGAUGUUCUUAUUUUCUGGAGGUCAGAUGUUGCUGAUCUUCUAAUUUGCCAACUUCCUCCUCUUUUGGUUAUAUCCUUCUAACUACUCCCUCACAAGAGUUUUGGUUGUGAUAUAUUAUGGUCAUAUCCUUUAAUACAUACACAGUUCACAAAUAUUUCCUCCUAGUCUGAGUUACUGAGUUGGGCCUCCAAAUAUUUAUAUUUUAUUUGUGGAGUUUUUUUAUAAACAAGAUUUUACACUUUGAUGUAAAAUCUUUUCUUUUUGCUGUCUGUAUAUAUAUGCAUGCAUAUAUAUAUAUAUAUAUAUCAUUUGUUCAUUUCUGUGUGCAUAUUUGUAUGUGUAUAUCGUGAUUAGGUGGUGGUUAUGUGUAUGUGUAUGAGUACAUGUAUAUGGGUACAUGUGUAUAUUCACAUAACCACACAUGUUUGUAUAUGGGCAUAUGUAUGUGCAUGUGGGCAUGAGUAUGUACAUAUACACACACAUAUAUAUGUAUCAUGUACUUAGGUGGUGAUGUUGUGUAUAUUUCUCUGAGUGUUCAUGGGCAAGUGUGUGUGUGUGUGUGUGUGUGUGUGUAUGUGCAUGCUCCAUUAUAGAAGUAUGUGUCUAGUUGAGAACCUCACUCUCACAUGUGAAACAUUAUUGUGUUUCAGUUUGGCAGUAAGUAUGUCAGUCCCAGCUAUGUGUUUUCCACCUAGGCACAACACCAGUUCCUUCCACUUUCAUAAAGUUGUUCUUGGAAAUGCCACACCCUUCUCAUUGCAUGUGAAUUCCGAAUUAGCUUUGAAACUUCUACAAAGUGCCUGCUGAGGGUUGAGUUGAAUUUAAUUUACAAGAGAGAUCAAUUUGUGGAGAUUGCUUUCUUAAAAGCAUAUUAACUCAUUCAAUCUGUAAAUAUUACAAAUCUUUCCUUUUAAAUUUUAAAAUUGUUUUCUUGAGAUUGCUAUAUGGCUUUUGGUGUGCAAACUUUGACUAUAUUUAUUAACAUUAUUCUUCAACAUUUUAUUCACUUAUUUAUUUGCUAUGGAAAUAUAAUUUUUUAAAAUCAUAAUUAUAGAGGAGUAAAAGUGAGGGAUUUGUUUUUGGUUUUGUUAUUUUGUUUGGUUUUUUGUUUCUCGUUGUUUCUCUAGACAGAAUUUCUUUGUAUAACAGAGUCCUGGUUGUCAUGGAUUCACUUUGUAUACCAGGCUGGCCUCAAAUAGAGUACUUUUCUCUAUGCCCUGGGUGCUGGUAUUAAUGGUAUGCACUACUACACCUGGUAAAUUCUGAGUUUUAUUUACUGACUUUAUAUUUUACAACCUUGCCAGAAUGUGACAGUUUAUUACAUUACCUGUUAGUAGAAUAAAGAACCAAAAUCUCUGUAAACUGUUUUGUUGGCUGUCCACAAUAAUUUCUCUUUCUUGUUCUGAUUUUCUUGCUUUCUUUUUCAUUAGUUAUGACAUAUUAGUUGUAUGAUAGAGUGAGCUUCAUAAUGACAUGCUCAUAAUGCAUAUAGGGUACUUUGAGCAUGUGGGCUCCCCUGUGCCCAUCACUCAUCUCCAG